rnacentral:rRNA from 1 species
UACGAAGGGUGCAAGCGUUACUCGGAAUUACUGGGCGUAAAGCGUGCGUAGGCGGUUUUUUAAGUCCGUUGUGAAAGCCCUGGGCUCAACCUGGGAAUGGCAGUGGAUACUGGAGAGCUAGAGUGCGGUAGAGGGUAGUGGAAUUCCCGGUGUAGCAGUGAAAUGCGUAGAGAUCGGGAGGAACACCAGUGGCGAAGGCGGCUACCUGGACCAGCACUGACACUGAGGCGCGAAAGCGUGGGGAGCAAACAGG